CACUACUAUAUAUACCAAACAAAUUCGUUCGGAGGGGAGACCGGCAGGCCAUGGCUCGACGCCGCCCUUGAGUCCUGCCCCCAAGAUGACGAUGAUCCCCCUCGCCGGCUUCACCGCCCUAUCUGCCGCCGGCCUCCUGCUCAUCUUCUCCUCCUUCCUGCUGCAAACUCAAGGAGGAGCCAGAAGCAGCGAGGAGGAGCGGUACGUGCCGGUGCGCAGGGUGGUGUACCGGUCCAUGACACCGGCGGCGGCGAGUGCGGCGACGACGGCAGAGGCAGCGGCAGCGGCGGCAUCGUACGAGCCGUUCGAGGUGUGCGAGGGGUGCCGGUGCUGCGCGCCGUCGUCGUCGUCGUCCAACGGCAGCAGCAGCUGCGUGGACACGAGCUGCUGCUACGCCAUCGACUGCGACCUCCCCGGCAAGCCCUUCGGCACCUGCGCCUUCACCCCGCAAACCUGCGGCUGCGGCAGCAACUGCACCCAGCCCUCGUCCUGAUGAUGACUCAUCUUUCCUGCAACUUGGCUACUUCUUCUGGAUCAUCCAUCGUCUUACGUUACGUUACGACCUGAUGACAGAGGAUGACAUGAUUAGCUAGCACGCAGAUUAGAUGACUCACGUGUACUCGAUCAUGAUGGAUAGAUUAUCCAGUUAAUUCCCAGAUAGAGAGUUCUGCAUGAAGAUAAUAAUACAAUGAAUAAUAAUGUGUGUUCGUUUCAGAGGUUGCGAUUGCUGCUGUUGUUCGUUUCAGAGAAUUGUGACUGCAGUUGGUUCCAUUUUCAGAGUCGGCGGCUGCUGUUGGCUUGACUCUUGCGACACACCAAACUUGUACUGUCAGGGUCGGCGGCCUAACCUGUUGUCGUCGUAUACCUACUGUACGUUAGCUUGAGAAGCUUGUUUGCUUGGGGAAUGCAAAACCUAC
rnacentral:misc_RNA from 1 species